rnacentral:rRNA from 1 species
UGGGGAAUAUUGGACAAUGGGCGAAAGCCUGAUCCAGCCAUGCCGCGUGUGUGAAGAAGGUCUUCGGAUUGUAAAGCACUUUAAGUUGGGAGGAAGGGCAUUAACCUAAUACGUUAGUGUUUUGACGUUACCGACAGAAUAAGCACCGGCUAACUCUGUGCCAGCAGCCGCGGUAAUACAGAGGGUGCAAGGGUUAAUCGGAAUUACUGGGCGUAAAGCGCGCGUAGGUGGUUUGUUAAGUUGGAUGUGAAAGCCCCGGGCUCAACCUGGGAACUGCAUCCAAAACUGGCAAGCUAGAGUACGGUAGAGGGUGGUGGAAUUUCCUGUGUAGCGGUGAAAUGCGUAGAUAUAGGAAGGAACACCAGUGGCGAAGGCGACCACCUGGACUGAUACUGACACUGAGGUGCGAAAGCGUGGGGAGCAAACA